CAGAGACAUAAACUGAAACUUUUAAUUCUUAAAAUGUGUUUGCCAGCCAACCAGGAAUUACCCUACUUGAGACAGAGGAGUGUGGCUUCUCACCUGGGAGUUACUUCCAAAGUACUUUGAAAGACAAUAAGGCACAGUGCCAGUGGGAGAAGAAGCAGCAUGACAAUUCCUUCAAGACAGACUCCAUUUUCCUCACCUCGCUGCUGAAAAUGGACUGGGGGUAACCUUCAGAAACAUCCAUUUCAAUGAUUCAACAGACUAUUAAAGAGAUGGGUACAAGUCCCAAGUUAUCUAUCUUACACCUAAGAAGACAAAGGUACCAGGACUUUGAUUUUAGGAGAUGGAUCCUGACUAGGAGUUUGGUCCAUCAUCUUGAUGAAAUCAGUACCUUGAACCAAGUCUACCUUGUUAAAUUGUAGUCACUAGAAAGCAUUUUAUCUUUGUUUCUCUUUUAACCAUUUUUGACUUUAAUCCUUAUACUUGUAUCUAUUUAAAAUCUGCAUUUUCAGAAUUAAAUAAAUUUAUUUUAUUUUUAAUUUAAACCAUUCUAUUGCUGUGUUUGACCUGAACUGUUUGGAAAUUCCAGUUACCGGUAAACUGUUGAAUAUUGACUCUUUAAAGAAGCAACAAACCAUAAUGUUCCUCCGUUUGAUCCAGGACAGAGCUGGAUAUUUCAGAAGACACGUUCUGGGGGAAAUUUGAUGUCACCGUACCAGUUGUAACCAAGGCUGCUGGAGACCAGUGGAAGUCUGUGAUAUUGCAGCCAGGUUCCUGGAUCCAAAGCAUUCGAUCAUGGCUGCUCAAUUCAUAGGCCUAGGGUGCAUGCUUGUUGCUGACUGUGAGUAGCCUGUCAGAGAGCUACAAUAGCAAAGCUUUUAAGGCACUAAAGGGCUACAGGGUAAGAGGUGACACAAUUCUUUACUGAUCCAGCUUGUACCCCAGAACAUGACAGCUUCCAAGACAUUUGCCCAGGGAUGCAACUUAUUACAGGCAGCUAACUAUCUAGGUGCUGAUUGUCUGUCUGGCAGGGGCGCCCUCAGACACUCUUCCCACGGUAUACCCAAAACCCGCUCCUGCCAGCUCCCAUGUGCAGGCACUCCCAACAGCUCCCCUCCCCCUACUUGUAGCAGCUCUUAAGGCUGUUGCUGAGUGAAUACUGUGGGCAGAGCAGAGGGGACAUGGGCAGUUGGGGGGAGGGGACAUCUGGUACAGGAGCUGGCCCCAUGGCAGCAGUGAGGAGCAGUAGUGCUGGCUGCCUUGCUGCCUGCUCAGGUUUGGUCUAGAAGCCCUCCAUCAUGAUGGGGAAGGGGAUGGCAGCAGGGCCAAAACUGAGUGACAUUGUGACCUGGUGCAUGAGGGCCACAGUGCUACUCAGGUUUGGCCCCAUGGCCUCUCUUUCAUGAUAGAGGGUCUGAGGGCAAACCUGAGUGGGCAGUGGAGCAGCCAACACUGCUUCUCCUCAACUUGGCACCCCUGCCAAUGGUACGCACUGUGCGUAACGUGUACAGCUGUGGGUACCACUGGUGACCAGCCUUACUUCCCCUGCCCCCACUUCUGUGCAGGGACCGAGCACAGUUGCAGUGCCAGUGCUGUGAGCUCUCCCUC